AUGCUUUCGCGGCCCGAUACGGAACGACUUCCGACUUUUGUGAAGAAUCUUGGAUUAGAGUAUGAUGAGAAGGUGCUUCCAUUGAUUGGGAAUGAUGUGUUGAAAGCGUUUGCUGCACACUUUAAUGCAGAUCAACUGCUUAUGGAUCGGUCGCAGGUUUCAGCGCUGGUUAGGGAUAGUCUUGUGAGAAGGGCGAAGUAUUUUACUAUUCUUCUUGAUGAUAUUGCUAUUACUCAUUUGUCUUAUGGUAAUGUUACUGAUGUGAGAGAGUGUGAAUUUUUUUUCAUGAUAAAGACAUAG